rnacentral:lncRNA from 1 species
CGGUUCGGAAUUCCCGAGAGGUUUUCCCGGUUUUCCCACGGGAAAAAUUGGGAUUUGGGAUUCCAAUCCUGGCUGGGAUUCCUUGGAUCCCUUUCCCAAUCCUGGCAAUUUUGGGUUUUGUUCGUUCCCAAAGGAAAAAUUUCGUUCCCAUUUUUUUUUUCCCCAUUUUUUUCCAAUUUUUUUCCCAUUUUUUCCUCAUCUUUUUCCCCAUUUUUCCCCAUUUUUUCCCCAUUUUUUCCCAGGUUUUUUCCCAUUUUUUCCCAAUUUUUUUCCCAGGUUUUUUCCCAAUUUUUCCCCAUUUUUUUCCAAUUUUUUUCCCAUUUUUCCCCCAUUUUUUUCCCAUUUUUUCCCCAUUUUUUUCCCAUUUUUUCCCAAUUUUUUUCCCAUUUUUUUUCCAAUUUUUUUCCCAUUUUUUUCCAUUUUUUCCCAUUUUUUCCCCAGGUUUUUUCCCAUUUUUUCCAAUUUUUUCCCAAUUUUUUUCCCAUUUUCCCCCCAUUUUUUUUCCCAUUUUUUCCCAUUUUUUUUUCCCAUUUUUUUUCCUAUUUUUUCCCCAUUUUUUUCCCAGGUUUUUUCCCAUUUUUUCCCCAUUUUUUUCCUAGUUUUCUUUCCCUUUUCCCAAUUUUUUCCUCCUUUUUUUUUUCCUCCUCCUCCUCCUCCCUCGGGAGUGUCCGAACUUCAUUCCCGGGGAUCCUCCGGAAUUCCCGGCCUCCGGAUCCAGGAAUUCCCUCCCAGCAAAAAAAACAAAAUUCCAGGAAAAUCAAACGAAAAUCCCAAAAAAAAAAAAAAAAAAGUUGGAUUUUGCUGGAAAAGCUUCCCCAGUCCCUUCCGGAUCCGGGAAUUCCUGGGAAGAGCCCCCAGGAAUCCCGGAAUUCCCAAAUCUUUCCCCCGAAUCCGGCGUUCCCGGGGGGUUUUUUAUGUACACGGCGCCAAAUCCCGGCCUGGGAGCCCAUCCCGGAAUUCCGGGAAUUCUGAGAUUCCCGGGAACGCUGAGGGCUGGUCCCGGAAUCCUGGGAAUUCCGGGAAUUCCGGGAAUGCUCCCUUCUCCUCGGCUCCCUGCUGGGCUCGGAUGAAGCCAAUCCCAGGAAUUCCAGGAAUCCCAGAAUUCCCGGGAAUCCUCAGUUCUCCUCGGCCCCCUGCCGGGCGCGGAUGAACGCCAUUCCGUGGGUCCGGAAAUGCGUUUUCAGGUUGAGCUGACUCUCGAAUCCUCUCCCGCAAACUUUGCACUCCAACUUCCCCUGCGCCGCUCCGCCUGUUCCUCCGCCUGUUCCUCCGCCUGUUCCUCCGCCUGUUCCCCCGGCUGUUCCCCCGGCUGCUCCCCCGGCGGAACCGGCGCCGCCCCCUCGGGAGGCGCUUCCCGGCUCCUCGGCGGGAUCCGAGCCCUUGCGCUUCUUGUGGGAGAUGAAGCGGUGCCGGCUGAGGGAGCCGGGGGAGGCGAAGCACAGCCCGCACUCCCGGCACUGCUGGCUGCCCGUCGCCGUGGCUGCGCCGCUUGUUCCGGUUGCGCUCGCGGUGU